rnacentral:tRNA from 1 species
GCGAGAGUGGCGGAAUUGGCAGACGCACUAGACUUAGGAUCUAGCGGGUAAAACCGUGGGGGUUCAACUCCCCCCUCUCGCACCA